UUUCCUGCUGCUUUGUGAAGAAGGUGCUUGUUUCUUCUUUGCCUUCUGCCACGAUUGCCAUGUGAAUCGCACCCCUGGAACUGUGCAGGGCCCACCUGUGUGGCCACACGCAGUGACCCUGAGCAAAGGAGUGACCACAGAAGUGCAUGGCAAAGCAGAAAGGUGUGACGUCUUGGAGGACGCGGGAGGAAAGCACGCCCAGCGGACAGGAGCCAUCACGCGGCUGCGGGCUGCUGCUGAGAACCUGGCGUGGGCCACCAUCGUCAGCAGCGUGGAGGUAACUGACGACCUUGGCCAAGAAGUUGGGUGGCAGCGUGGAGGUCAUGCUCAGAGAGCCUGCAGGACCACUGUGGGGCCACUGCCACCCUGUGGGGUGGUCCGGGGAGCCGAGGGGCAUGGACACCGUCUUCUCCUUCCGGCAGGCACAGUCAGAGCCCAUCUGGAUAAUCCUGGAUAAAUCUCAUCUGGAGAUCCUUCACCAGAUCACGUCGGCAAUGACCUGUUCCCCAAAUAAGGCCCUGUGCACAGGUUCUGGGGUGC
rnacentral:lncRNA from 1 species